rnacentral:rRNA from 1 species
UGUCUUUUUGAAAUUAAUGUAAAGUCUAAUCUGCCCACUGAUUUAUAAUUGAAGGGCUGCAGUAUAUUGACUGUACAAAGGUAGCAUAAUCAUUAGUCAUUUAAUUGGUGACUUGUAUGAAGGAUUGGAUGAGGUAUAAACUGUCUCUUAUUUAUAUAUAUAUAAAAUUUAAUUUUUUGAUUAAAAAGUUAAAAUAUUAUUAAAAAGACGAGAAGACCCUAUAGAGUUUUAUAAAUAGUUUUAAUUAAGAUUAUUUAUAAAAAUAAGAUUAAAAUUAAUAUGUUUAUUAUAUUGGGGUGAUAGAAAAAUAUAAAAAACUUUUUAUAUAUAAAAAAACAUUAAUAAGUGAUUAGAUGAUCCAGUAUUAUUGAUUAUAAGAAAAAAUUACCUUAGGGAUAACAGCGUAAUUUUUUUUUUUAGUUCAUAUAAGAAAAAGAGUUUGCGACCUCGAUGUUGGAUUAAGAUAAAAUUUAAAUGUAGAAG